CUGCAGGCUGGGGACGGCGGGGGCUGUACGGUGGGGGGAGUGGCGAACUGAGGGGCUCCCGCUGCGCCCCGGCCCGGGGUCGUCCUCGCCCGCCGGCCUCCCACACUCAGCCACCAGGUCGUCCACCUCCUCUGCCCUAUCCCGAGUGCAGCGUGGGUGGGGUGGGAGGGACGGCCCUCCCCGCUACGAAGUGAGAACACAGCCUAAGGGGUGGAGGGAGGGAGUCCUACCCCCACCACUCCCCCCGCCCCACCUGGCUCGGAGCACUGCGGGGCUCCUCAGCUCCUCUCCACUACCUCAAGGUCAGCGGGCAGGGACGCUGCCACCCUCCUGUUUCCUCCACCCCUUAGUGGGCUGCGGGGCCUGCUCCCACCCUCCCCCACAGUCACAGAGCGCAGCCGGGGUCAGAGGACCCGGGGGGUCCCUCCUUUAGUACGCGGGUCAGAGGACAGCGGGGUCUCCCUCCUUUUCACUCUUUUGGGGAGCUGGAGAGGAUUUCCCACCCUUCCCGCCUCCCCGCGGUGGGCACCGGUUUGCCGUCCAGCCCUUCUUCCCCUCAGCGUAGCAGGGUUGAGGGCUCCCCCAUCCUCUCCACCCUCUUGAGAGGGCCGGGGCUCCCUGCGAGGGCGGCAGGGCGCGGAAACGCCAGGGGACCUAACUGGAGACCGGCACCAUGUGGAAGUGAAGCGGCAGUGACUGCACUGGGAGCCCCCGCCACGGCCUCGCGGGGGCAGCGUCCGUUGCGCCCUGCACGCUCAGCUUCAGUCACACUUUGGAGGUGCCGUAUAAGCCUGUCAUAUCACAGGUUUACAGAGCUGCCCCGUGGCUGGUCGUGGUCCUCGCCGAGCCCCUCUGCUGAGCGGGGAUGGCGGCAAAGGGGCGCCGGGGAGAGCGGCUGGGCGCGGGAGCGGGCGGGUCGGCCCUGGGAGUAGCUCCCUCCCUGUCACCUUGGGGGCCUGGACGCAGGAGGCGCUAGAGACCCGGCAGGAGCGUUGUGGGGGCGGAUGUCACCAGGGACAGUGUCCCCUCCCGACACGCGUGGGAGCGGAGGCCGCUGGCCUUCGCCCUGGGGGCCGAAGGGGCUUCAUUGCUUAUCACCAAAGGAACCCACCCUUCUGGAAGUUUCCUCCUAUUCGAGUGUGGUCCGGCCCAAAGAGCCCCCAAAUCCCACCUCCUCCCCCAAAGCCUUACCCCAAGGAAUCCAAGGCACAAGAGCCCUCCCUUCUCCUGCCACCAGCGAGCAUCCCAGAGGGCAGCCCCAGAGGGCUGUUCCAUGCACUUUUCAUCUCUUCCAGGAGAUGACCAGCUCUCAGGACUCAGCCUUGUCACCACCUAAGACCUCAGAACCUUCUCGAAUGGCCCCAUGCCCCGCCUCCCUGGCUGUCCUGUCCUCCUCGCUGGCAGAGGGCAUGUAAGCUAGGUAGCUGCGUUACCCUGAGCACAGGGCCAGGCCGGGCACGGAUCCUUCCAGAGGUUUUCAUUUUAGCAUCCGUCAGUGCCCACAGGGCCUAAGGAUGAGGGCUCAGGAGCUGCACAGCUCACCCGCAGAUCUCAUAGACACCAGAGGCAGGGAGGUGGCCGAGGAGACUGGGCCCAGGGCUGCGUGCAGUACCUCAGGUCCGGCCCCACCAGGCUCCCUGGUCCCUGGACUUCCCUCCUUCUGAGGACCUGGAAACAAGGAGUGGAGGAGGAGGCAAUGGGUGGGGGGGUGUCCCCCUGAAGCCUCCUGUAGGUCCCAAGGCUCACCUCCCACCGUGGGUCAUCCUGCCCUAGCAGCAGAAAGAAAUUCUCUUCCCUGCAGUGUUUAUGGACUGCUGCCCCCACCCUGUCCUGCCUGCCCUCCACUCCAACACCCUCCUGUGACUGUAACCCAGAUUUUAGGUUUUUGAAGGUUCUGAGAGCAAGCUUCCAUGACAGACAACACUGAUGAAUCCGCGGUAUAAAUAUCCAGAACCCAAUCCCUUCCAAGGAAACACGGUUGAGUGGGAAGCUGGACACGGUUUCUAUUGUGUUGGUUCUGUCUUCCUCCGGCUGUGUGCUUGGUCUUUCUGGGGCGGGCAGAGUUGCACAUUUCCAGUCCUUUCCUGUGCUAGCAACAGACUAAUUAUUCAUCUUCUCUUCAAUCUUUGCUGCUUCUUUACCCCUUGUAUUGAUACAUGUUUGUCUUCACCCACUCAAGAAGGGAGAAAAAAUAAAUAAUCCGUCAUUUAGGUUUAUGCGAAAAGAGCUGAAAAACUUAUGAGGAAAAGGAAAUGCUUAAUUACUGUCUCCUUCUUCCUAGUGGGGAAGUGGAAUCUUUUAAAUAUCCAGUAUGUAUACCAUAUAUAUGUUCUCUGUAUGGUAAAGGCAGUCUUAAGACUUUUAAGAAAUUUUGUUACAAUGUAAUGACAUGGAGAUUAUUUUGCCCUUGAUCUUUUUGAAUUUUUUUUAAUUCACUCAUCCUUCCAUUAGUUUAUUAAACUAACAUUAUGUGCCUACCAUGUGCUGGAUGAAGGGGGCAGGGUGAAGGCGUGGGAAAGACAGGGAUCCUGGGACCCUUGUAAUAGUUUCCAAUUUACUUUGAAAAGUAAGGCUACAAGAAGUGAAACAGGAACAAAAAUCAACAUUCCUACUCCUCCUUUCCUCCUGAACACUACAAUUUAAAUUUCAUCAUCAUAGACACAGGACUUAGAAGGAAAAUAAUAUAAAAAUGAAGAAUAUGUCAGUGCUUCUCUGAGGCUUUGUUUGAUCUUUGUUUUGUUUUGAUGCUUAUUUUUAUGCGGGCUUCUGUCAUUGCUUUAUGUUUAAUACCAAAAAAAGUGAAACAGUACAAUCAUUACAGUUUCUGUAUUCAUGUUUUAGAAUCGAUUGCACUAAGUAUGCCUUUUAAAAAGUUCUCCACAAGUUUGUAUUUCAAAAAGGAAAAAAAGAAAAAAAGAAACAAAAUAAUAACUUACAAGCCAUAUGAAGUAAAAUGAAAAACGUCCUUUAGUACAAAGCCAGGAGCGUGAAAUAUGGACUCUUGAAACUAAAGGGACCCCAAAGGAGACCUCUGGUUCAUUUCUGUGUCUCUGGGUAGCAGGGCUGCCACUCCAAGGGUAAGGCCUGGAGAGCAAGAGGUUCUCCCAUAUAUUUACUCUGUAGCAAUUUAUUUGUUGCAAAAAGAAACCUGCUGGGGAAUCUCUAACUGGGCCUGUGGGAGAAAAAAUAAAAAGCAAACAUCAGGAAGCAGAAUUCCUCUUUCCUGUAACGCUAGAGGGCAGCCCUCUAUCCUCAUAACCCAGCAAGCAAGGCUGACUUUUUGGAUCUGUGACUUGUGCAGCUGGUUUAAGGUUCUGCUGUCACCACCCUGAAAUUCUUCAAAAUUUUUGAUCAAAAGGUUCUGCAUGUCCGUUUUGCCCGCGGCCUUGCAAAUUAGAAAGCCCAUGCUGGUAACAGGUCACACUAAACAGCACUCCAUUCUGGGCCUGCAGGCAGAGCCUACGGCAGGCCAGCCAAAGGAGAAGGCCUCCUCUGCCUGCGAACUCAAGCCCAUCCCCUCCUAAUGUGGUCACCUCUCAGGGAUUACAUACACACUAAGACACACCUAAUCGAUUAUAAAUCUAAGCAAUCACGCUGCAGGAUAGGUUUAUGCAUCAGUGGGUUUUGGUUUAAAAAUAACCCAUCUUCUAGCUCCUAUUUCAAAUCCAGUUAGAUUAGCUCAGUCAAUGACGCCGUCGUGUUCCUCUCAACAUCCACAGGGCUCUGAUUGAUUAAAUCAAGGCAGCCCAGCAAACUGCGCCAAGGUCAGAAGCGAACGUGUGCCAGCCAACCUGGGGCAGAUUGUAGAGCUGAGCACAGAGUCUUUCCCUGUGUAUUCAUUUUUCUCUCUGGCAAAUACAUUACUAAAAUUUAUAUAAUAAAGUAUGAACAGUAUGUCAACAGAUUCAUUAUCGCCAUGAAAUAUGCUUUGUGUACCCAGAUAACAUUUACAUUUUUAUUGAACCAGAGUCUGGGAAUACAGAAUCCACCCAACCCAAGCCAGUUUAUGGCUCUUAGAAGUCAAAUUAACUCUUUCAGUUCAUUUAAGUACUCCUUUGCAGUUCAGUUUCCAAAGCAUCAACAAAACGUUGCUGACUGUAAGAUUAAUAUGUUCAUUUUCUUGUCCAUCCAGUGCUGAAUGGUCCCUACGUGCCUUUAAAAGACGCUUCUUAAUUGGCUUAUUUGAUAAAUUAAAUUUUCAGGGACAAUACCAGAAUCAAUAUUUCAAAAAAUCAUCUGUAAAACCUGAUUUGGAGUGACUUACUGAGAUUUUUGGCCCUUAACAUGUGAGAAGAUGGUACUGGUAUUUCAGAACAGACCUUUCACAAAUGCCCACUGCCAUGGAGAAGUUUAAUCCUGGUACUCUUUUAAAAUCCAUUGACAUGCUGCAACUCCUUCCAUGAGCGCUGGGAGGAGUGACAAUAGGUUAAUGACUAAUCAGUUCCAGCACGUCUACAGCCUUGUGAGAGAUAUCGAUUUCUCGGCUCUUGCUCGGAGAACGUGAUCUAAAAAGCAAUGACUCCUGCCGCCAUGGAGACGUGUGCUCAGGAUCAGUUGCCUAGAGAGGUGCAGGAAGAGGGGCUUAUUUAGCAAGCUUACGUAAAUGGAAAGUUCACAUACCUUGGCUUUUAUUUUUAUACCCUUGUUAGUGUCUCUUAAAAUAGUCAUUAAGGAGUAACUUAAUUAUGCUCUAAAAUUUAAAAAAAAAAUGUUUAUUGAGGGACAAGACAUGGCCUCUAUGGAACCAUGCCGAGAUAUAGUUCAUGCAUGUUUUUGUCCAAUUUCACCUUUCUCAUUCAAUUCAACCAACAUAUGAUUUUAAGCCACUUCACAUGUUUUGAUUCAUAAUUUUUUUAAUUUGAAAAUAAAUCAAAUUCACUUCUAGUCUUAUUCCACACUAUAGUGUAGUAAUUGUGAAUAUUCUCAGAAUUGCUUCCUUAAUGUACUGGAUUUUGUUCCAUCUCUGAUAUCAACUAUACAUCGUUGGAGAAGUCACAUAAGAUCUCCAAGCUUCAGCUGAUUUAUUUUUAAAGUAAGAAAAUAAAGAAUGGACCAAUUUUUCUAAGACUCUUUCAAACAUGUUUGUACCACCGCUGGGUAAAGGAAUGGAUUUUAAUCAAUAUUUUUAGACUGAAAGGAAAAAAAUUGUUUGCAUCCAAUUAAAAAUAUAUAAAUAUAAUAAAAUUGAACUGCACCAAGAA